AGGGGGAGGUCAGAUCUUGGGCUGUGUCCUGGCACCCAGUGCUCCCGGGCCUGGGCUGUUGGAUUCGCGCUCCCGACCGCACAGCCCCCU
rnacentral:pre_miRNA from 1 species